rnacentral:lncRNA from 1 species
GGUGUUCUAAGAGGCUACUAGCUCUCCUUUGAACUAUGAACGUCUCCCUGAGCCUGUGGGUUGGCGCCAAGGAUGGUUUGCUACUCAAAGACACAAGAUCACCUUGUAUUGUCUAAGAUGGGAUUCACAGGAAUUCCUUCCUUUAAGUGAGAUCAAUGUUCUAGAGCUGAACAGAGAAAGCUAGAGACAAGACAACAAAGUUGACUGAAUAAUUCUUAGAUUGAAAGUUGAGAAAACAAAGCUGCGUCCCCCAUGUUCUUAAAGGUAAAAUCGAAAACCCUAAUGAUAAAUCAAGGUGGUUUAAUUCUAAUUCUAAUCCUAAUUGUCUUUGGUUUAAAUUAAAUGAGAGCCCAAUAACCAAAGCCCUUACAAAGUAAUUAAAUUAAACCAACAAGCUGGUUUAUCUUGAUCUCCUUGCCUUGAACCAAGGCCCACGGUUUUGGCUAUCUCCUGGAGCCUCUCCUCUUGUGCUCUCAGCCUUGAUCUGGUUACUGGUCCACUCCACAAGCUGGCUAGCUCAUUUGGUUCUUCUCUGCUCAAGUCUGGUUCUUCUCUUCUCAAGUCUGGCUCUUCUCUGCUCAAGUCUGGCUCUUCUCUUCUCAAGUCUGGCUCUCCCUCAUCAGACUCACUCAGCUCUCCAAUGUCUCUACUCAUGGCUACACCAUCCCCUCCUCCUUUAAAAGGAUUUGACCUCAAAUCCAAAUCAUCUGCAAUAAAAGGAUCCAAGUCAGAAACAUUGAAAGUAGAACUGAUUGUGUAUUUCCCUUCAAGAUCAAUCUGGUAGGCAUUGUUGUUGAUUCUCUUCAGCACUUUGAAAGGUCCAUCUUUCCUUGGCAGCAACUUUGAUUUCCUCUCAACAGGAAACCUCUCUUUUCUCAUGUGAAUCCACACAAGAUCACCCGGUUCAAGUACUAGCUCCUUGCGCCCCUUGUUCUUCUGCCUCUCAUACAUCUUGGUCCUCUCCUCAAUGUUCUUCCUGACCUGUUCAUGCAAAGACAAAACAAACUCGGCCUUUUGCUUGCCAUCAAGGUUAGUUUGUUCUUUUAAAGGUAAAGCAAAUAAAUCAAGAGGAGACAAUGGGUUAAAACCAUAAACAACUUGAAAAGGUGAUAGUUUAGUAGCUGAAUGCACUGCUCUGUUAUAUGCAAACUCUACAUGUGGUAAACAAUCCUCCCAUGUCCUAAUGUUACUCUUAAUGAUGGCACGCAAAAGAGUAGACAAUGUCCUAUUGACUGAUUCAGUUUGACCAUCAGUUUGGGGGUGACAAGUAGUUGAAAACAAUAGCUUAGUUCCCAACUUUCCCCACAGAGUUUUCCAGAAAUAGCUAAGGAACUUAGUAUCUCUAUCAGAAACUAUAGUCCUAGGCAUACCAUGCAAUCUAACAACUUCUCUAAAGAAUAGAUCAGCUACCAAAGAUGCAUCAUCAGUUUUAUGACAAGGUAUGAAGUGAGCCAUCUUAGAAAAUCUAUCAACAACCACAAAGAUGCUAUCUCUUCCUUUCCUAGUUCUAGGCAAUCCUAAGACAAAGUCCAUAGAGAUAUCAAUCCAUGGUGCAGUAGGAAUAGGGAGAGGUGUAUACAAACCUGUGCGUUGGACCUUAGACUUGGCUUGCUUGCACACGACACACCUUGAGCACACACGCUCCACUUCUUUCUUCAUACUCGGCCAGUAGAAGUGCUCCUGCAAGGUGGAGAGUGUUUUGGCGACCCCAAAAUGUCCCAUCAGCCCUCCUGCGUGAGCUUCCCUAACAUACAAUUCUCUCAAAGAACCACUAGGAACACACAGGCGGUUAUCAUAGAAAAGAAAUCCUUUUACUUGAUAGAAUUUUCCACUAGCAUGUUUCUCAGAUUCUCUAAACACAUCUUUAAACUCAGGAUCAUUAGCAUAGCAAGAUUUGAUAUGUUCAAAUCCUAAGAGUUUAGUUUCCAUUGAAGAUAAAAGAGUAUACCUUCUGGAGAGUGCAUCAGCCACUACAUUCUCCUUACCUUUCUUGUAGUGGAUGACAUAAGGAAAGGUCUCAAUGAACUCCACCCACCUGGCGUGUCUCUUGUUCAGCUUCUGUUGCCCUUUGAGAUGUUUAAGGGAUUCAUGAUCUGUAUGGAUCACAAACUCCUUAGGCCACAAGUAAUGUUGCCACACUUGUAAAGCUCUCACCAAGGCAUACAGCUCCUUGUCAUAGGUAGGAUAGUUCAAGGUGGCGCCUCCUAGUUUCUCACUGAAAUAAGCUAUGGGUUUCUUAUCCUGCAUCAACACAGCUCCAAUUCCAAUACCAGAUGCAUCACAUUCAAUUUCAAAAGUCUUAGAAAAGUCAGGAAGUGCAAGUAAGGGAGCACUUGUUAACUUCUCUUUUAGCAUUUGAAAUGCCUCUUCUUGUGCUGGCCCCAAGUGAAACCUACACUCUUCUUGACUACUUCAGUCAGUGGUGCUGCAACUGUACUGAAAUCUCUCACAAACCUCCGGUAGAAGCCAGCAAGUCCAUGAAAACUUCUGACCUCUCCAAUAGAUUUAGGAAUCGGCCACUCCCUGAUAGCUUUCACCUUUUCCUCAUCAACCUGUAUGCCCUGUGAAGUCACAACAAAACCUAAAAAGACAAGGUUAUCUGUGCCAAAAGAGCACUUCUUAUAGUUAGCAUACAGAUUUUCUUUUCUAAGCACAUCUAGAACUUGCUUCAAGUGGUUAACAUGUUCUUUCAUAGUCUUGCUGUAAAUCAGGAUAUCAUCGAAGUAAACAACUACAAAUCGUCCUAUCAAAGCUCUCAAGACGUGAUUCAUUAAUCUCAUGAAAGUACUAGGUGCAUUAGUAAGCCCAAAAGGCAUCACAAGCCAUUCAUACAAUCCUAACUUAGUUUUAAAGGCAGUUUUCCACUCAUCUCCUUCUUUCAUUCUAAUCUGGUGGUAACCACUCUUUAAAUCAAUUUUAGAAAAGACACAUGAACCAUGUAACUCAUCUAGCAUAUCAUCUAAGCGAGGAAUAGGAUGCCUGUACUUAACUGUUAUGUUGUUGAUGGCUCUGCAGUCCACACACAUCCUCCAGCUUCCAUCUUUUUUUGGCACCAAGAGGACAGGUACAGCACAAGGACUCAUACUCUCCCUGAUAUGUCCCUUCUCCAUUAGCUCAUUGACUUGUUUCUGAAGCUCCUUGGUCUCCACAGGGUUGGUCCUGUAUGCUGGACGGUUUGGUAAAGUAGCUCCUGGUACAAAGUCAAUCUGGUGCUCUAUUCCCCUAAUAGGCGGCAGACCUAUGGGAUUGUCCUCUGGGAACACAUCUCUAUACUCCUGCAAAAGACACUCAAUCUCCUCUGGAAUCUCAGGAGCAGGGUUAGUAGUAGAGCUCAACAAUUCUUUGUAAACUACUAGUAUAAAAUUUGAUUGUUCAAUCACAGCAGUUUUGAUAUCUUUAGCAGUAGCAAAGAGGUUGAGUUUACUUACCUGGCUGGUCUCUUCAAGAAGCAAGGACUUGCUGGCGGCCUUGGACUCUCCUCUCUUCAUUUUGAGAUGCAUCUGAUCCUGGUGUACCUCCUGAGGGGUCAUUGGCGCCAGGGUAACUUGUUUCUCCUUAUGGAUAAAAGUGUAUCUGUUGGUAAAGCCAUCAUGUACUGAUCUCUUAUCAUACUGCCAUGGACGUCCAAGAAGGAUGUGGCUAGCUUCCAGGGGUGCUACAUCACAAGUGAUCUCAUCCUGGUACUUUCCCACUGAUAGCAAUACCUUCACUUGCUUGGUGAUCUUUAAUCCUCCCUCAUCAUUGAUCCAUUGCAACAGAUAUGGCUUAGGAUGCUUGAACACUUGAAGACCCAACUUCUCCACCAACUCAGCACUUGCUACAUUAGUACAACUCCUCCAUCAAUGAUCAAGCUACAAACCUUUUCUUGAAUCAAGCAUCUGGUGUGAAACAAGUUUUCCCUUUGCUCAUCUUCUUUGGUUUUAGGUUGAGCAUUGAGAAGUCUCCUGGUGACUAAUAGCUCUCCACGGACAGGGUACUCCACGCCUUCCUCAUCAGACUCUUGGCCGGCGUCCUCCUCUUCAGAUAUCACCUCCCCGUCGGCUAAGAUAGUCAUCACCUUCUUGUUGGUGCACUCAUUAGCAUAGUGACCAAAGCCAUGACACUUGAAACACUUAAUGUUCCUGGUCUUAGUAGGUGUGGCUACUCCUUUACCCUUGUCAUCUCUCUUGGUCUCCACUGAAGAAGAACCUUCUUUGGACUUAUCCCCUGGCUUAUCUUCCUUGGAGUAGGCCGGUUUUGAAGCAGGAGUGUAUGAAGACCGGGUAGAGCUCUUCCUCUUGUUCUGCUGCUCAAUCAAAAUAGCCUUAUGUAGCAGUUCAUCCAUGUCCUCAUACUCUUGUAGCUCCAACCUAUCUUGUAUAUCUCUGUUAAGACCUCCUUGGAAUCUAGCCAUAGUAGCUUCUACUUCUUCUUCUAAGUCAGCUUUCAACAUGAGUGUUUCCAUCUCCUGGUGAUAGUCCUCUACACUCUUAGAUCCUUGAGAAAGCCUUCUCAACUUCUGGUGUAGAUCUCUUCCAUAGUGAUUAGGAACAAAUCUCUUCUUCAUCACAGUUUUCAUCUCAAACCAUGAAGCUACCUGAGGCUCUCCAUUGCGUCUCCUGGUAGUAGCAAUCUGAUCCCACCAGCUAAUAGCAUAACCACAGAAUUCAGUAGCUGCUAGUCUCACUUUCCUCUCCUCAGUGAACUGUUGGCAAUUGAAAACCAGUUCAAUCUUCUUCUCCCACUCUAAGUAAGCAUCAGGAUCAUUCUUCCCAUGGAAUGGAGGGAUUCUAAGCUUGAGAUUGCCUAGGUUAUCAGUAGCUGGUCGCCUGCGGUUGUGAUUUCUACCAUGAUGACUAGCCUGAGAUCCAUCAUCACUUUCAUCAGCUGAAUCUUCUUGAUAAUGUUCUCCAUAAAUCCCACGACCCCUAAGCUCAACUCGUUGCCCUCUUAUAGGUCCAAUGCGUGCUCUCUGAGCUCCAGCAGCAACCGCGUCCCUCUCUUGCCCUGCAUUAUCACCAGGUAAAGUUUCAUUAGCUUGUUGAGCACGGUUGUAAGUAUUUUGCAUUCUUCUGGUUAUCUCAGCUAUCAUAGCCUCAAAUUGAACUUGGUUGAGGUUGAUUUGCUGGACAGCCGGUUCUCCUGAACUCUCAGGUUGCUUUCCAUCUCGCCUCUCUUCACUCAUUGUUCCUGAAAUAGUUAGAGAAAACACAAAGCCAGGAACAAAAUUAUAUCUCUCUCUCACUCAAGUUUUCAAAUCGCCAAGUCUCAGCUCUUCCCACAAGUUCAGUUGAAAAACAAAGUUCUACACUUAAGAUCUAGAAAUAAAACCCCAAUGAAUCAGAUAGGAAGUAUUAAGAGAUUUAGGCACCAGCUGACUUUACCACCCUGAGCUGGAUUUCUCUUCAGCUAGCUGGAUUACUCUUCAGCUAUAUUUUUUUUUUGAUUUGGAUCAGAGAUCUCUUUUCUUUUCUUUUUUUUUGAUUUGCAGGGUUGGCUCAGCUGGCUUACAACAGAUAGAAAGAUAAGUGAAGUGUUUGAUGGAAUGAAUGAUCUGAGUAGUCAAAUUGCAAACCCUAACCUUCAAGUGGCUCUGAUACCACUUGGUGCAGCCUGGGUAUGGCUUAAACUCUGGAUCACUUGAAGGUGGAUGGAUAGAGGGUGUUCUAAGAGGCUACUAGCUCUCCUUUGAACUAUGAACGUCUCCCUGAGCCUGUGGGUUGGCGCCAAGGAUGGUUUGCUACUCAAAGACACAAGAUCACCUUGUAUUGUCUAAGAUGGGAUUCACAGGAAUUCCUUCCUUUAAGUGAGAUCAAUGUUCUAGAGCUGAACAGAGAAAGCUAGAGACAAGACAACAAAGUUGACUGAAUAAUUCUUAGAUUGAAAGUUGAGAAAACAAAGCUGCGUCCCCCAUGUUCUUAAAGGUAAAAUCGAAAACCCUAAUGAUAAACCAAGGUGGUUUAAUU